rnacentral:misc_RNA from 1 species
AAGAAAAUUCAUGGCUAUUUCCUCUGUCUCUCACCUUCCCCUCCUCUUCUUCUUCCUUUCUUUCACUCCUCUAAUCUUCUCUUCACCAUCAUCAGACCUUCCGCAGACCUUCAUCGUUCACGUCUCCAAAUCUCACAAGCCUACCCUUUUCUGGUCUCACCAUGAUUGGUAUGCAUCCAUCAUCCUAUCCCUCCCUCCAUCUCCACACCCCACCAAGAUCAUCUACGCCUAUGGCCGUACCAUCAGUGGCUUCUCCGCCCACCUCAUCCCCGCUCAGGCAGCAAUACUCCGCCGUGUUCCUGGCGUCCUCUCCGUUAUCCCAGACCAGAUUAGACAGCUCCACACCACUCGCACCCCUCACUUUUUAGGCCUUUCUACUGGGUUUGGCCUUUGGCCUAAUGGUGCUUACGGUGAAGACGUGAUCAUUGGUGUUCUCGACACUGGAAUAUGGCCGGAACACCCUAGUUUCUCGGACUUCGGUCUUUCUCCUGUUCCGGACAAUUGGAAAGGUAUCUGCGAGAUAUCGUCGGAUUUUCCUGCUUCGGCUUGUAACAGGAAACUCAUCGGUGCAAGAGCCUUCUACAAAGGCUAUGUGUCCUAUCAAGGGAAACCCAUUGA